UAGAUGCGAGAGUAGAGCAUAUCAAUAAGCGGAGGAAAAGAAACUAACAAGGAUUCCCUUAGUAACGGCGAGUGAAGCGGGAAGAGCUCAAAUUUGAAAUCUUCAAGGUUCUACCUUGACGAAUUGUAGUUUAAAGAAGUGUUUUCUGUUAGAUGAGUAGCAAAAGUUCCUUGGAAUGGGACAUCAUAGAGGGUGAGAAUCCCGUAUUUGGUUAUUCAUUCUAGCUUUGUGAUACACUUUCAAAGAGUCGGAUUGUUUGGGAAUGCAGUCCAAAAUGGGUGGUAAAUUUCAUCUAAGGCUAAAUAUUGGCGAGAGACCGAUAGCGAACAAGUACCGUGAGGGAAAGAUGAAAAGAACUUUGAAAAGAGAGUUAAACAGUACGUGAAAUUGUCAAAAGGGAGGCGUUUGACACCAGUGUUGUUUUUCCGAAAAUCAAUUAAGAAAUGGUUGAUUUUGUGUUGUAUUGACCUUAUCAGCUUUCUGCACUUUUUUCGAGUCUUUCUUAAUGCACUUUUCGGCUAACAAGUCAACAUCAAUUUCUUUUGUUGUAAAAGAGUAUUCGGAAGGUGGCUUUCUUUUCGGAGAAAGUGUUUAUAGCCCUAUACUUCUACAAUCGGAGAGAUUGAGGUCUGCAGCGUAGAUCCUUCGGGGUUAGAUACACUUGUGCUAAGUUGUAGCUUUUCAUAGACAACUUGUUGACUAUGUUUAGUCAUGCGGCUUACUCGCUUGUGCUAUUUUACCUACGCUUAGGAUGUUGAGCGCAUGUCUCUCUCU
rnacentral:rRNA from 1 species